AGUGAACGCUGGCGGUAGGCCUAACACAUGCAAGUCGAACGAGUGGCGGACGGGUGAGGAAUACAUCGGAAUCUACUCUGUCGUGGGGGUUAACGUCCGGACACGGGCGCUAAUACCGCAUACUAUCAGCUGAGCCUAGGUCGGAUUAGCUAGUUGUUGGGGUAAAGGCCUACCAAGGCGACGAUCCGUCACUGGUCUGAGAGGAUGAUCAGUCAAACUGGAACUGAGACACGGUCCAGACUCCUACGGGAGGCAGCAGUGGGGAAUAUUGGACAAUGGGCGCAAGCCUGAUCCAGCCAUGCCGCGUGGGUGAAGAAGGCCUUCGGGUUGUAAAGCCCUUUUGUUGGGAAAGCGGUACCCAAAGAAUAAGCACCGGCUAACUUCGUGCCAGCCGCCGCGGUAAUAC
rnacentral:rRNA from 1 species